UGUGGCUUAUCGGCAAAUUAUGGAUAAGGAACCCAGAAAGUUGAUUGUUAAUCAAUUGAAUGCUUACCUCCCAAAAAUCACAAAAAAGCGUGGCCGAAGUUUUUCAAAAGAUAUUAAAUUGUGGUUAAAAAGCUGGGAAUCAAGAAAAUUACAUAUAAUAUCUAUUGAUAACUUGCCUUCACCGCAACCACAUAACAUGGGUAUGGAGAGUGAUUUGAAUCAAGACAGAGUUUUGGUACCAAAUAGAACUCACGUUACAAAUUUGAAGAACAAGCUAAUUGUUUUUUUAUCUAAACGGAGUCUUGGUAGAUUGUGUGACCGUUGAUAAGAAACUUAACCCAGAUUUUGUGUUUAACAAAACAGUAGUAUUCACGAGGCCUUCGUAUCUUGAGUUCCUGGAG